GUACUGCGAGUGAAGCGGGAAAAGCUCAAAUUUAAAAUCUGGUGGUCUUUGGCCAUCCGAGUUGUAAUUUAGAGAAGCGUCUUCCGCGCUGGACCGUGCAUAAGUCUCCUGGAAUGGAGCGUCAUAGAGGGUGAGAAUCCCGUCUUUGGCACGGAUGCCCAGGGCUUCUGCGAUGCGCUCUCGAAGAGUCGAGUUGUUUGGGAAUGCAGCUCAAAAUGGGUGGUGAACUCCAUCUAAAGCUAAAUAUUGGCGAGAGACCGAUAGCGAACAAGUACCGUGAGGGAAAGAUGAAAAGCACUUUGGAAAGAGAGUGAAACAGUACGUGAAAUUGUUGAAAGGGAAACGCUUAAAGUCAGUCGCGUCAACCAAGACUCAGCCUUGCCUCGGCUUGGUGUACUUCUUGGCUGACGGGUCAGCAUCAAUUUUGACUCUCAGAUAAUGGCAAGGGAAAUGUGGCACCUUUUUAGGUGUGUUAUAGUCCUCUGUCGGAUGUGAGGGUUGGGAUUGAGGAACUCAGCAUGCGCCUUUGGUGUCGGGGCCUUGGCCCACGUUACGUGCUUAGGAUGCUGGCAUAAUGGCUUUAAACGACCCGUCUUGAAACACGGACCAAGGAGUCUAACAUACCCGCGAGUGUUCGGGUGGAAAACCCGUGCGCGUAAUGAAAGUAAAAGUUGGGACCUCUGUCGUGGAGGGCACCGACGCCCGGACUAGACCUUCUGUGACAGCUCUGCGGUAGAGCGUGUAUGUUGGGACCCGAAAGAUGGUGAACUAUGCCUGAAUAGGGUGAAGCCAGAGGAAACUCUGGUGGARGCUC
rnacentral:rRNA from 2 species